rnacentral:rRNA from 1 species
UACGGAGGGUGCAAGCGUUGUCCGGAUUUAUUGGGUUUAAAGGGUGCGUAGGCGGCCUUUUAAGUCAGUGGUGAAAGCCGACAGCUCAACUGUCGAACUGCCAUUGAUACUGAAAGGCUUGAGUACAUACGAGGUCGGCGGAAUUGAUGGUGUAGCGGUGAAAUGCAUAGAUACCACCAAGAACACCGAUUGCGAAGGCAGCUUACUAGUCUGUAACUGACGCUGAGGCACGAAAGUGUGGGGAUCAAACAGG